GUCUCUUCUUCUGUCUUUCUAUUUAUUCUGCACCUCCCCCUUUUCCCUGCCUCCAAACCCUUUUCUCAAGCCCAGCCCUCCUCUUCCCUUUGUCCUAGUUCUCCUUGCCUUUUCAGUAAGUGAGGAAUUAAAUAAGCCUUUGUGGAGACAGAACCAAAUAGAUCCUCCCUUGCCUCCCUGGCUCUGAUAUUGAUAAAGUUAGGGAAGAGACAUCUCUUUAGGAUGCUCUUUUCAUUUCAUUAUUUAGUCCAGCAUGCACCAGGUCAGGACUCUGGGAACAUCCUUAGAGCCACUUGAGUGCUUGCAAUAAAAGGGCUCACUGUGACAUCCCAGAGCAGCCACAUAGCCAGGCACCUGUCACCUGAAGUGACAAUGACCACCCACCAGGCACUGCCCUGCACACAGGAAAAUUUGGGUCUGACCAGCACCAAGGGCUCCCCAUCACUCAGAAGAGGCCUACCUGAAAAAAAAGUAAUAAAAAGGGGACAUAAGCUGCAUGACCUAGGAUUACAGUUGCUAUGGCGAUAAGACAGUUAGUGAAGGAAGGAGUGAAAGGACACAUUAUCUUCUGAGACAGAAAAGCUUGUAGCUACUGAGACCUUUGUGCCACCCUUUGUAAGAAUUGGAUGAUACAGGUUCUGAUGUACUGGCCAGAACAACUGUAAGGAACUGCACUCAUCUUUCCAGAAUUCCCUUUGUAGCUAAUUAAUGCUCAUCUCUGCUGCUUGUCCUAAGGUUGCUGUGCAAUACUUAUGUGCUGCAGUGUUUUCUCAUAACUCAGGUUAGGACUUUCUCUGUGAAAGACCUUUUGAAAUGUCCUUUGGUAUCCAUUAGUGUGAAAUGUGCCACAGAAAUGUAAAUCAUGUCACUGGCUGCCAAGGAGCACCUGGCCUCCAAAGAGUGUCCUGCUGCAUUACUGAGCAGGGAGGAGAGGAGGACAGCAGGACAAGGCAAAGGAGAAACUGGAUUUUUCUUUUCACUUAGAGGACUCUUACUGGCAGAAUGGCAUUCAAUGAGCCCCUGGGACUGGAGAAUCUGAAAGCAAGGUCCACAGUGCUGCUCAGCCAGUGGACUUGGAGAAUGUUCUGUUGCCCUUGCUCUUGUGACACGGCACAGGCAGUGCUCUGUCACAUGUUGGGCAGCUUGUUCUCCCUAUGGAUAAUGAUUCCUACAAGUACAGAAGUGUUUCACUCUCCUGACUUAGAGCCACUGUCUUACAGUUUUAUGAUCUGAACUGGCAAGGCUUCCCUUCACUGGUAUCAGCAGUGCUGAGGCUCCCACCCUGGCUCAGGCACACACUCACUAAUCAUGGUGGAGUUUGCCUUUGUUACUCCAGCCCAGACUGAGCUCAUCUGACUAUAAACCUGUGAUGCACUUUACAGUGGCGCUCCCCAAGCCAGUGAUGAGCCAACACACCUCCUGUGAUGAUCCAAGGGCAGUUCACCACUAGAUGGUUGGUGUUAUGAAACAACAGGGAGCUGGAGUUUGAAAAUUUUAUGAUUCAGUUUUUGAUGCAGUUUAGUCAAUUGCCAGCCUGCAAAGUUCAGACUGGGGCACCUCUUAACCCAUGCCAGAAUGCUCUGAGUCAUCUCUGUAAUAAGUUUUAAAAUGACAUUUGAAUUUUUUGUAAAUUUUAUAUUAUCUUCAUCCAGUCUGAACUCCAACUUAUGAUAUUCACCCAAGAAAUGUUAGUACUGAGUGAGCCUUUGUGUUGACAAGCCACAUCUUUCCCUGAUAGGCAUCCUAUUCACAUCCUUUCACCAUAUUUUUAUUUUUGGCUGGCUUUAGGUCAGGUGGAUAAAUUUGCUUCUUAGUGUUUCAAGGAUUCCAGUGCAGAUAUUAAUUUUAUCAAAAUGAAGUGCUACAGUCUGCAGCAAGUCUGGGCAUCACAAGGAUCAUGAACUAAGGAUAUUUUCUAUGUAGUCCCAGAAAAUAAAUCCUAAUCUUCUAGGGUAGACACAGGCUUCAGGCUGUCCUUAGGUUAAGGGAAAUAUGUUCAAGUCUUGCUAAAUGGAGCGUUUCCCAGACACUUUGGAAAAGCAAAGAGUGGACUAUUUUGCCUUUAUAUCAUGUACAACUUGAACCUACCAAUGCAUGCAUGUCAGACAGGAAAUGUGCAGGUCUUUAGGCAAGAAUUCUGAUUCACUCAGCCUUGCAGAUAUCUCCCUAAAGGAGUUUGCUUGAAGCCAUAUGACCUUGAAAGUGAGAGCUCCUAAAAACAUAAUGCCUAAUGUCUAACAGUUAAACUAAUAUAGAUGGGGACAAGUGCAGACUAUGCUAUGAAUGAGGAUUGUUCACCCCAUUAAAACUCGAGUUUAUCAGAGAAAGA